UCGACGAUGAAUCUUCUAGCUUGCUAGAAGUGGAUUAGUGGCGCACGGGUGAGUAAUGCAUAGGCUAUGUGCCCUUUAGUCUGGGAUAGCCACUGGAAACGGUGAUUAAUACUGGAUACUCCCUACGGGGGAAAGUUUUUCGCUAAAGGAUCAGCCUAUGUCCUAUCAGCUUGUUGGUGAGGUAAUGGCUCACCAAGGCUAUGACGGGUAUCCGGCCUGAGAGGGUGAUCGGACACACUGGAACUGAGACACGGUCCAGACUCCUACGGGAGGCAGCAGUAGGGAAUAUUGCUCAAUGGGGGAAACCCUGAAGCAGCAACGCCGCGUGGAGGAUGAAGGUUUUAGGAUUGUAAACUCCUUUUGUUAGAGAAGAUUAUGACGGUAUCUAACGAAUAAGCACCGGCUAACUCCGUGCCAGCAGCCGCGGUAAUACGGAGGGUGCAAGCGUUACUCGGAAUCACUGGGCGUAAAGAGUGCGUAGGCGGGGUAAUAAGUCAGAUGUGAAAUCCUGUAGCUUAACUACAGAACUGCAUUUGAAACUGUUACUCUGGAGUGUGGGAGAGGUAGGUGGAAUUCUUGGUGUAGGGGUAAAAUCCGUAGAGAUCAAGAGGAAUACUCAUUGCGAAGGCGACCUGCUGGAACAUUACUGACGCUGAUGCACGAAAGCGUGGGGAGCAAACAGGAUUAGAUACCCUGGUAGUCCACGCCCUAAACGAUGGUUGCUAGUUGUUGCCUUGCUUGUCAGGGCAGUAAUGCAGCUAACGCAUUAAGCAUCCCGCCUGGGGAGUACGGUCGCAAGAUUAAAACUCAAAGGAAUAGACGGGGACCCGCACAAGCGGU
rnacentral:rRNA from 1 species